rnacentral:rRNA from 1 species
CCUACGGGAGGCAGCAGUGAGGAAUAUUGGUCAAUGGCCGUAAGGCUGAACCAGCCAAGUCGCGGGAAGGAAGAAGGAGCUAUGGUUUGUAAACUUCUUUUAUAGGGGAAUAAAGGUAUCCACGUGUGGAGAUUUGCAUAUACCCUAUGAAUAAGCAUCGGCUAACUCCGUGCCAGCAGCCGCGGUAAUACGGAGGAUGCGAGCGUUAUCCGGAUUUAUUGGGGUUAAAGGGUGCGUAGGUUGUUUUUUAAGUCAGCGGUGAAAGUUUGUGGCUCAACCAUAAAAUUGCCGUUGAAACUGGUAGCCUUGAGUGUGUUUGCGGUCGGCGGCCUGCGUGGUGUAGCGG